rnacentral:rRNA from 1 species
CCUACGGGAGGCAGCAGUGGGGAAUAUUGGGCAAUGGACGCAAGUCUGACCCAGCAACGCCGCGUGAAGGAAGAAGGCUUUCGGGUUGUAAACUUCUUUUAAGGGGGAAGAGCAGAAGACGGUACCCCUUGAAUAAGCCACGGCUAACUACGUGCCAGCAGCCACGGUAAUACGUAGGUGGCAAGCGUUGUCCGGAUUUACUGGGUGUAAAGGGCGUGCAGCCGGAGAGGCAAGUCAGAUGUGAAAACCGCGGGCUCAACUCGCGAACUGCAUUUGAAACUGCUUCCCUUGAGUAUCGGAGAGGUAAUCGGAAUUCCUAGUGUAGCGGUGAAAUGCGUAGAUAUUAGGAAGAACACCAGUGGCGAAGGCGGAUUACUGGACGACAACUGACGGUGAGGCGCGAAAGCGUGGGGAGCAAACAGGAUUAGAUACCCCGGUAGUC